GGACUCGUGAUGUAGUGGUCAACAUAGCACUCUUCCAAAGUGCAUUCCCGGGUUCGAUCCCCGGCGGGUUCA
rnacentral:tRNA from 1 species